UACGAAGGGUGCAAGCGUUACUCGGAAUCACUGGGCGUAAAGCGCACGUAGGCGGAUUGCUAAGUCAGGGUGAAAUCCUGGAGCUCAACUCCAGAACUGCCUUUGAUACUGGCGAUCUUGAGUCCGGGAGAGGUGAGUGGAACUGCGAGUGUAGAGGUGAAAUUCGUAGAUAUUCGCAAGAACACCAGUGGCGAAGGCGGACUCACUGGCCCGGUACUGACGCUGAGGUGGCGAAAGCGUGGGAGCAACAGGAGUUAAGAUGACCA
rnacentral:rRNA from 1 species